CUUCCAGAACAUUUGAACUUGAAGACCUUCCCCACAACUGUUCCAUAAUAACUCUGGGGACAAAGGCAGGAAAUCUGGCAAAACAUAAGAAUGUCAGCAGCAUUGGUAGGGAACUUCUAGAACACAUACAUCUGGAAAUCUGGAUGAAGUCCUUUGGGUCCCAAAUUACAAACGACUAAUCCAGUGCCACAGCAACCCUUGUACAUCCCAUAACUCUUUGGAGCUACUUCCUAGAGCCACCCUGAAGUCUACCCUUUCAUUGCAACCAUCGGAGCAAAACCAAAGGUCGUUUGACAUCCUAGGAACCUUAGUAGAGGUUUGUUGGAGAAACACUGGAUAUCAAAUCUCCAUGUGGGCAGGAGCAUUGAAAGUUUUGAAAGGGCUCUAUGUAUGUCCUGAUCUGAGAAAAGCCUGGUCCUCAGUAUUUUUUAAAUGGAUAAAGGUGCUUGGAAUAAAUUGUUUGCAGACAAAUCCUCUGCUCCCUGGAACUUACAUUUCAAUGAAGAAGAACCAACAAUCAAGAAAAUACAUAAUUUCAGAAAAUUGAGGGGCUCUGCAGAAAACAAAACAAGAUAAA